AGUCGACCCCUAAGGCGAGGCUGAAGAGCGUAGUCGAUGGGAAACGGGUUAAUAUUCCCGUACUUGGAAUAAUUGCGAUGGGGGGACGGAGAAGGCUAAGCAAGCAUGGCGAUGGUUGUCCAUGUGAAAGUGAGUAGGCUAGUGACUUAGGUAAAUCCGGGUUGCUGUUAGGCUGAGACACGAGACGAGCACCCAAGGGUGUGAAGUUGCUGAUGCCAUACUUCCAGGAAAAGCCUCUA
rnacentral:rRNA from 1 species